rnacentral:rRNA from 1 species
UACGGAGGGGACUAGCGUUGUUCGGAAUUACUGGGCGUAAAGGGCUCGUAGGCGGCCAACUAAGUCAGACGUGAAAUCCCUCGGCUUAACCGGGGAACUGCAUCUGAUACUGGAUGGCUUGAGUUCGGGAGAGGGAUGCGGAAUUCCAGGUGUAGCGGUGAAAUGCGUAGAUAUCUGGAGGAACACCGGUGGCGAAGGCGGCAUCCUGGACCGACACUGACGCUGAGGAGCGAAAGCCAGGGGAGCAAAACGG